rnacentral:rRNA from 1 species
AAUGGGUCAGCGACUUAUAUUCUGUAGCAAGGUUAACCGAAUAGGGGAGCCGAAGGGAAACCGAGUCUUAACUGGGCGUUAAGUUGCAGGGUAUAGACCCGAAACCCGGUGAUCUAGCCAUGGGCAGGUUGAAGGUUGGGUAACACUAACUGGAGGACCGAACCGACUAAUGUUGAAAAAUUAGCGGAUGACUUGUGGCUGGGGGUGAAAGGCCAAUCAAACCGGGAGAUAGCUGGUUCUCCCCGAAAGCUAUUUAGGUAGCGCCUCGUGAAUUCAUCUCCGGGGGUAGAGCACUGUUUCGGCAAGGGGGUCAUCCCGACUUACCAACCCGAUGCAAACUGCGAAUACCGGAGAAUGUUAUCACGGGAGACACACGGCGGGUGCUAACGUCCGUCGUGAAGAGGGAAACAACCCAGACCGCCAGCUAAGGUCCCAAAGUCAUGGUUAAGUGGGAAACGAUGUGGGAAGGCCCAGACAGCCAGGAUGUUGGCUUAGAAGCAGCCAUCAUUUAAAGAAAGCGUAAUAGCUCACUGGUCGAGUCGGCCUGCGCGGAAGAUGUAACGGGGCUAAACCAUGCACCGAAGCUGCGGCAGCGACGCUUAUGCGUUGUUGGGUAGGGGAGCGUUCUGUAAGCCUGUGAAGGUGUGCUGUGAGGCAUGCUGGAGGUAUCAGAAGUGCGAAUGCUGACAUAAGUAACGAUAAAGCGGGUGAAAAGCCCGCUCGCCGGAAGACCAAGGGUUCCUGUCCAACGUUAAUCGGGGCAGGGUGAGUCGACCCCUAAGGCGAGGCCGAAAGGCGUAGUCGAUGGGAAACAGGUUAAUAUUCCUGUACUUGGUGUUACUGCGAAGGGGGGACGGAGAAGGCUAUGUUGGCCGGGCGACGGUUGUCCCGGUUUAAGCGUGUAGGCUGGUUUUCCAGGCAAAUCCGGAAAAUCAAGGCUGAGGCGUGAUGACGAGGCACUACGGUGCUGAAGCAACAAAUGCCCUGCUUCCAGGAAAAGCCUCUAAGCAUCAGGUAACAUCAAAUCGUACCCCAAACCGACACAGGUGGUCAGGUAGAGAAUACCAAGGCGCUUGAGAGAACUCGGGUGAAGGAACUAGGCAAAAUGGUGCCGUAACUUCGGGAGAAGGCACGCUGAUAUGUAGGUGAAGCGACUUGCUCGUGGAGCUGAAAUCAGUCGAAGAUACCAGCUGGCUGCAACUGUUUAUUAAAAACACAGCACUGUGCAAACACGAAAGUGGACGUAUACGGUGUGACGCCUGCCCGGUGCCGGAAGGUUAAUUGAUGGGGUCAGCGCAAGCGAAGCUCUUGAUCGAAGCCCCGGUAAACGGCGGCCGUAACUAUAACGGUCCUAAGGUAGCGAAAUUCCUUGUCGGGUAAGUUCCGACCUGCACGAAUGGCGUAAUGAUGGCCAGGCUGUCUCCACCCGAGACUCAGUGAAAUUGAACUCGCUGUGAAGAUGCAGUGUACCCGCGGCAAGACGGAAAGACCCCGUGAACCUUUACUAUAGCUUGACACUGAACAUUGAGCCUUGAUGUGUAGGAUAGGUGGGAGGCUUUGAAGUGUGGACGCCAGUCUGCAUGGAGCCGACCUUGAAAUACCACCCUUUAAUGUUUGAUGUUCUAACGUGGACCCGUGAUCCGGGUUGCGGACAGUGUCUGGUGGGUAGUUUGACUGGGGCGGUCUCCUCCUAAAGAGUAACGGAGGAGCACGAAGGUUGGCUAAUCCUGGUCGGACAUCAGGAGGUUAGUGCAAUGGCAUAAGCCAGCUUGACUGCGAGCGUGACGGCGCGAGCAGGUGCGAAAGCAGGUCAUAGUGAUCCGGUGGUUCUGAAUGGAAGGGCCAUCGCUCAACGGAUAAAAGGUACUCCGGGGAUAACAGGCUGAUACCGCCCAAGAGUUCAUAUCGACGGCGGUGUUUGGCACCUCGAUGUCGGCUCAUCACAUCCUGGGGCUGAAGUAGGUCCCAAGGGUAUGGCUGUUCGCCAUUUAAAGUGGUACGCGAGCUGGGUUUAGAACGUCGUGAGACAGUUCGGUCCCUAUCUGCCGUGGGCGCUGGAGAACUGAGGGGGGCUGCUCCUAGUACGAGAGGACCGGAGUGGACGCAUCACUGGUGUUCGGGUUGUCAUGCCAAUGGCACUGCCCGGUAGCUAAAUGCGGAAGAGAUAAGUGCUGAAAGCAUCUAAGCACGAAACUUGCCCCGAGAUGAGUUCUCCCUGACCCUUUAAGGGUCCUGAAGGAACGUUGAAGACGACGACGUUGAUAGGC